rnacentral:lncRNA from 1 species
AACAAACAAAAUUAAGAAGCAUACCUUUCUUUGCACGCUACACAUGAUAAUUAGUGCAUUGCUUCUUUUGGUGUCUCGGAGCUUUACAGAAAAAACAAACAUUUUUCGUCUAAACCUUUUAUUGCUUCUUCUGUUGUAUUGAAACUGCAACAAAUUUACCUAUUUUCUUUUUCUUGUUCUUCUUAUUCUUUGAGAUCACUGCUAAAUGAGCACUCUCUGUCCCCUCAAACUUGAGCCUUUUCUCUUCUUAUACAUAAUGUGAAAUGUGUUCAUUCAGAUUCUAAGAUUCUUUCUGACAGUUACGUGUCAUCUUAAAAUGAUUAAACUAUGGUGGAAGAUAAAUCAAAACAAAGUACACAAGUACUUCUU